rnacentral:rRNA from 1 species
UACGAAGGGGGCUAGCGUUGCUCGGAAUCACUGGGCGUAAAGGGUGCGUAGGCGGGUUUUUAAGUCAGGGGUGAAAUCCUGGAGCUCAACUCCAGAACUGCCUUUGAUACUGAAGAUCUUGAGUCCGGGAGGGGUGAGUGGAACUGCGAGUGUAGAGGUGAAAUUCGUAGAUAUUCGCAAGAACACCAGUGGCGAAGGCGGCUCACUGGCCCGGUACUGACGCUGAGGCACGAAAGCGUGGGGAGCAAACAGG